AGAGAACUGUAAUUCUGCCAAGUUGAAAAGGUCAUGAUUCUGUGUGGCAAAUCCUCAACCUGAACUUCGGAGAUGCAAAACCAAAAUCAACAUUUCACAGCUACAGUAUCAAAAACCAUUUGCGUUGCAGUACAGAAAACCACCAAAUGCAUUUGCAGCAUCAGCAAUUUUGCUUGGAAGAGACAGAAGAAGAAUAUCUAAGAUGCAGGGCUCAUGAAGGAUGAGAUGAAAAUGACAGAGGCAGCUACAGGAGUUAGAAGUGAGAAAGAGAAACCCUGCAAGACACUAUCGCAGAGACUGCUGAGGUG
ensembl:lncRNA